UACGUAGGGUGCGAGCGUUGUCCGGAAUUAUUGGGCGUAAAGAGCUCGUAGGUGGUUUGUCGCGUUGUCCGUGAAAACUCACAACUCAAUUGUGGGCGUGCGGGCGAUACGGGGCAGACUGGAGUACUGCAGGGGAGACUGGAAUUCCUGGUGUAGCGGUGGAAUGCGCAGAUAUCAGGAGGAACACCGGUGGCGAAGGCGGGUCUCUGGGGCAGUAACUGACGCUGAGGAGCGAAAAGCGUGGGGGAGCGAACAGG
rnacentral:rRNA from 1 species